AGGACCCUAACCUGAGCUAGUUCAAUCACUGUCUUUCUCCCAGGAAUCUGGAAGUUGCUGGAACAAGACAUAUAAACCUGAAGGCUGGAGUAGUGGUGGCCAUACUCUGCCACAUGGGCCAGAGAAGUACAGUAAAAUAACAUUCAGAAAGAACAAAGAGUGAAGCAGACACACACGGAGCUGCAGAGCUGAGAGGAGAAAUAACUCCUCCUCAUUUCUUGGUUACAGUCCUUCCUGAGGUGUCAUGGCAUUAUCCCUUUGGAUCGAGACAUUUUUGUGUUCCUAUAAAAGGCUCCCUAUCAGUGCACAUAAUCCGUAAGGAGUGUUGAAACAUCACUGGAAAUGUAAUUAGAUGGAGAAAAUUCUGAUCACCUGAACUUCUCUAAGAGACUAUUACACAUAGUUGGAAGCAAUAGUUUGAUUAGCCAGUUAGGGGGAGACUCUAUUAAAGGGUUUACUUAAUACUGUCCCAUCAAGCUGUUGAUAAGACUUGUAAGAGGAAAAGGGAUGAGGGUGUCCGCUUAACUGCAGGGUUUUUGUUUUCUCCAGUGGGUAUGAACCUCAGGGGGGCGAGAAGUUGAGUUGCUUUGGACAAGAGGGCAGAGACUGAGUACUCUUCAGCCAUCCCCUAUGCAGAGAUCAGCUUUUCUACUGAGAACAGUUGAAGAAAUAGUCCAAGAAUACUCAAAGAAAACGUUUGAUAAGAUGCCAAAUUGUUCUAUAAGACAGGGCCGGUGGGAAGUCAGAAGAAACUAUGUAGCUUCCUAAACAUGAAAGAUGAGAGAGGCACAAGGAGCUAGAGACCAAGGCAGAUGCUGAAACUCAGGAGGCUGGUCAUUGAGGAUGCAGCGAAAGAGUGCAAGGAUUUUAAACAAGAGAACAUUGAAACCUAUUGUCCAAGCUUUAUAUUCAAGGAUGCUGCCAGGAGAUGGAGGGGACUCCUAAGAUGACACUUGUUCUACUGCCUCUCUUCUGGUAUGAUGACUGUGACACAUGUGAAUCGAAGUAAGUGAAUUUUCUGUAGCAAUGCCUCAUACUCAACUCAGCAACUUCCUUACAACUCUUCUUUGAGCCACAAUUUUUCAAAUACCGAAGUAAAGGAUAAAAUACCUGUUCUAAAAUAUUCUUAAGGUGAGAAUAGGCCUCUGUGGGGUGAAUUUCAGUUCCACUCUCAAUAGAUCUAUCAUAUUAAUCACUAAAACUGGACCGAUGUUUUCGAGCCAGGCUUGUCGC